UCAGCUUCAAGCGUUCUCUAAGACUAUUCACCGUUUCAGUGGCCGCGACGUGGCGGGCCUUUAGCUCCGCUACAGACAUUUCUUAUAAAGGAAACCGAAAAUUAAACUAAAAAGCAGCCAUUUCUUUUCAAGUUCGGAUUCGAUUCUGAGCUGAAAAAGUAAAGUAGCGAACAGAAAAGGGGAGAGAGAGAGAGAACGAAAGAAAAUUAGGCGUAGUUCAGAAAAAACAGAUUUGAUCUCGAUGAUUCGAGAAAGUAAAGAAAUGGCUGCUUCCGAGAUUGAGAGAGAGAAAAGGAGGAGUAUACGGUGGAGGAGGAGGAGGAGGAGGAGGAG
rnacentral:misc_RNA from 1 species